AUGUGUAUAUAUAUAGAGAGAUUUAUUAUAAGGUAUUGGCUUACACUAUUAUGGAGGCUGAAAAGUCCUAAU